GGGGGUGGAGCGCAUGCUUAGCAUGCACGAGGUCCUGGGUUCAAUCCCCAGCACCUCCA
rnacentral:tRNA from 1 species